UAAAAAAAAAUAAAUAAAUAAAUAAUCCCAUACUUGUUAAAAACACAGCACUCUUAACAUGUUUCGUGCAAAAAUAAUUUUGAUGAGACAUCUUCAAUAGCGUUUAGCGCUAAUAAAGAAAAUAGUUAUGGAUGCAAACAAAAAUCAAGUCAAUGUUUAUAGAACCACAGACACCUUCGCUUUAUAAUGAAAUGAAAGCUUAAUUGAAGUAAGAAAUUGCAAGACUUGAGCUGAUUUCCAGUCUUUCAAUUAACGAAAUAGUGCGAUUCAUGCUCAUGGAAGAGGUAAAAAUAAAUAAAUAAAUACAUACUAGUAGCACCAACAACAAUAUUACUAAAAGAAACAAUUGAAGCUGAUUUCCUCAUAUUGCUUUAACUACUCUCAACUAAUCAAAAUCUAAAAAUCCUCGUUUUUCUCUUAAUUUUCUUCUCUCACAAUUUCUCAGCAAGCAAACAAAGUAAAAGCAAAUAAGAAAGUAAACUCAAAGCAGUAGCAAUCAAAGGAUCAUUUGCAGAAGCGCGUGACCCUUUCUCAGGAUUCUGCUUCGUAACCACCAUGGAUCUAAAAAAAAAAAAACUCGCUUUUCAAAUUGAGAGAAAAAUCUGGUUCGAGUAAUUGUGGAAUCCAAAAGAGA
rnacentral:misc_RNA from 1 species